CCCUUAGAUGUUCUGGGCCGCACGCGCGCAACACUGAUGCAUUCAACAAGCCUAGCCUUGACCGAGAGGUCCGGGUAAUCUUUGAAACUGCAUCGUGAUGGGGCUAGAUUAUUGCAAUUAUUAAUCUUCAACGAGGAAUGCCUAGUAAGCGUGAUUCAUCAAAUCGCGUUGAUUACGUCCCUGCCCUUUGUACACACCGCCCGUCGCUCCUACCGAUUGAAUGUGUUGGUGAGGAGCUCGGAUUGGCAGCAGUUGGUGGUUCGCCACCGGCUAUUGCUGAGAAGUCCUCCAAACCGCCCCAUUUAGAGGAAGGAGAAGUCGUAACA
rnacentral:rRNA from 1 species